rnacentral:rRNA from 1 species
AGAAUCAACGCUGGCGGCGUGCCUAACACAUGCAAGUCGAACGCGAAAGCCCCGCAAGGGGUAAGUAGAGUGGCAAACGGGUGAGUAACACGUGGGUGACCUGCCUUCGAGUGGGGGGAUAACGUCCCGAAAGGGACGCUAAUACCGCAUGACAUCCUGCUUUUGGAAAAGCGGAGAUCAAAGCUGGGGAUCGUAAGACCUGGCGCUUGAAGAGGGGCCCGCGCCUGAUUAGCUAGUUGGUGGGUAACGGCUACCAAGGCGACGAUCAGUA